CUUCUUUCCUGCCUGCUGAAGACUGACUUCCUCCUGCUGCCAAAGUUCUAGAGUCUGGACGUCUGAGAUCAGGGUGCCAGCACUGUCGAGGUCACAGACUGCAGACCUCCUUGUAUCUUCAAAUGGAGGAAAGAGGACAAGAGAGCUCCUGUGGUCCCUUUUAUCAAGGCAUUUGCAGUGAUACAUCCUAGUGAUGGCAGCAACCGCCCGUCUGGAGCCGCGGUUGGGAAGACGUCGUCUGCAGCAAGGGAGGCGUGGUGGGGCUGUGCCUCUGUGGAGCUGGUGAGGCCGGGAACAGGCAGGCCCCCCGCCCCUAUCAAGUCGCGGGGCAAGAGCCCCUCCCUCCAGAUGCAACUGCAAGGGUGACUCCAGACCUAUACGCCCUAUGGCACUGUAGGCUCGGAAGGGCCUGCUCCCACUCCCUGGCCUGUUCCGGCUCGGGCACCCACACCACUGUAAAGCAAAGUUGUAGCUGAGCCUGGGCGUUGUGGCAACCCAGCCGAAUGUGUGUGCUGGAGGAGACGCUGACAUGCCAGCCUCCACUCCCACACCUCAGUCCCCGUGGGACUUUGGGCACAGACGAUCAAGGGACAGAGGCUGAGGGGGGGCUGAAGCUGGUGCAGUGUAGGCUUGCAGGCGACCAUUGGCAUGAAUAGCCUUCGUACCACAGAUGACAUAUUGAUGGAGGCAGGAGGCAGACACUUUCCUAGGCAGAAAGGGGUGAGUCCUUGGUGAGGCCCCACCUUCAAACCAGGGACAGGGAAGACUGGGGGCCAGGCCGUAGGCCGCCUGUAGUGAGAACUUACAGUGCUUUUUCCAGGCCUGCCCAUGGCCACCCAUGAACCAAUCAGCAUGCACUUCCUUCCUUCUGAAGCCAUAAAAAUCCUGGACUCAGCCAGACUCACACAGAUUACCUGCCUGCAGAUAGGAGCUACCACUGUGGUGCUUCUCUCCACUGAAGGCUACAGAUGUCAGGAAGACCUGCCUGCCUAAAGGAGCUACCUACUCCGGAUCUCCAGGAUGAUGUGCCUGCUUAUAGGAGCUACUCACUCCAAAUCUCCUCCUUGUUGAGGGCUGCAGACUUGACAGGACGACUGCCUGUGGAUAGGAGCUACCCACUUCAGGUCUCCUAGAGUUGUACUGUUGCUCAAUAAAGCACUUCUUCACCUUCCUAGCCCUUCAGUUUUCUGCAUACCUCAUUCUUCCUGGAUGUGGGACAAGAAUUUUGGUAGUACUGCAGAUUCUUUUGGAAAAAAAAUUCAGAAAAGUCUCAGUGGUGGUGGCUUUUCUCUGCUCCACAACUUUCAGGAUUUGCCCUUGAAGACCUGAAUGAUUGAAAGUUGAACAAUUAGAUAUGAAAGAUUUACUUCCCAGAUAUCUUCUUCGGUGACAUGCUGACCUCUGGAUGUGUCGGCUGAGGUUUUGGAUUAGUUGGGAUUGUCCACAGAGCAUCUAGAGGUGACCUCUUCAUGUGACUGGGGCUUAUCACAAUAUGACAUCAGUAUCUGAAUGGAUAUACUAUGAGAGGUAUUAUCCUUAGAGCUAGGUGAAAGCUGGAUGCCUUAUUCUCACCUAACUUCCAAAAUAAUGCAUUAUCAUUUGAUCAUAUUCUAUUGAUUACAAGAAGUUAUAAGCCCUGCUCAGAUUCAACAAGAAAGGAUUUUGAUGAAGGGAACAGAGUGGAAGAGUGUAUUAGUUGGGAGAUACUGUGAUGGUGGCUAAAUUUUGAAAAUAUAAUCUGUCACACACAUGGUAUAUGCAGAGGAAUAUAAAUCAUUCUACUAUAAAGAUACAUGCAUGUGAAUGUCCACUGCAGCACUAUAUGACAGUUUGAGUAAGUAAAAUGUGGUACAUAUACACAUUGGAACACUAUGUCCACCAGUGACAGUUUGAAUAAGUAAAAUGUGGUACAUAUACACAAUGGAAUACUAUGCAGCCAUAAAAAAUGAGGUCAUGUCUUGUGUGGGAACAUGGCUGGAACUAGAGACUAUUAUCCUUAUCAAAUGAAUGCAGGAACAGAAAACCAAAUACUGCAUGUUCUCACUUUUAAGUGAAAGCUGAAUGAUGAGAACUAAUGAACACAAAGAAGGGAGCAACAGAUACUGGGGUCUCCUUGAGGGUGGAGAGGGAGAGGAGGGAGAGGAGCAGAAAAGAAUAACUAUUGGGUUCUAGGCUUAGUACCCGGGUGAUGAAGGAAUCUGUGUAACAAAUCCGCACAAUACGAGUUUAGCUAUGUAACAAACCAUCCUAUGUACCCACGAACCUAAAAUAAAAGUUAAAUAAAAACCCGGAAGAUUUGUGCUAUAAUAUGUUUUCUAAUACAAACACAGAAAAGUCAUUAGCCAUUGCAAUAUUUCGUUUGUUCAUAUAAUGUUUGGAGUGUUUGAAUUGCAUAAUUAUAUUUGUUUAGGGCUCAAAGAAUAUAUGAUCCAGAAUGUCGCCUUCAAGUGAUCUCUUCAUUUGUGGUUCCCUUAUGUACUGUCAGAUUGCUG
rnacentral:lncRNA from 1 species